GAGGAUAACCGCGAUAGGUCAUUACUUCUGGAAUGGGUAAUGACUCAAACCUAUAUGGCCCCUGGAUUGGACUGCGGCCGAUCAGGCUGUUGGUGAGGUAAUGGCCCACCAAACCUGUAACCGGUACGGGCUCUGAGAGGAGGAGCCCGGAGAUGGGCACUGAGACAAGGGCCCAGGCCCUAUGGGGCGCAGCAGGCGCGAAACCUCUGCAAUAGGCGAAAGCCUGACAGGGUUACUCUGAGUGAUUUCCGUUAAGGAGAUCUUUUGGCACCUCUAAAAAUGGUGCAGAAUAAGGGGGUGGCAAGUCUGGUGUCAGCCGCCGCGGUAAUACCAGCACCCCGAGUGGUCGGGACGUUUAUUGGGCCUAAAGCAUCCGUAGCCGGUUCUACAAGUCUUCCGUCAAAUCCAGCUGCUUAACAGAUGGGCUGCGGAAGAUACUAUGGAGCUAGGAGGCGGGAGAGGCAAGCGGUACUCGAUGGGUAGGGGUAAAAUCCGUUGAUCCAUUGAAGACCACCAGUGGCGAAGGCGGCUUGCCAGAACGCGCUCGACGGUGAGGGAUGAAAGCUGGGGGAGCAAACCGGAUUAGAUACCCGGGUAGUCCCAGCUGUAAACGAUGCAGACUCGGUGAUGAGUUGGCUACAUGCCAUCUCAGUGCCGCAGGGAAGCCGUUAAGUUUGCCGCC
rnacentral:rRNA from 1 species